rnacentral:tmRNA from 1 species
GGGGAUGAUCGGCCUAGACAUGCGAUUCCCUUCCCUUUGCGCGCGAUAGAGCUCCGACAACUCUUUAAACUGCCGGAAACCACAAAUGCUAAAUCCGUUAAAUCGCCGUUUACGGCUAACGAUUUUUCAUUCGCUUACGCAAUAGCCUAAGCGACAUCGCACUCCUCGCAUUCCUGGCGCGGGAGAGAGCGGUGUUAUAGAUCCAGGAUAGAGCCCGACCCGCUUCGGUCCCGCUCGAAAGGCUUCGGCCUCAUGAAGCUCGGCGCCCGCGCGUUCUGGAACUCUUAGAGCGCGUCCGCUUAAAUCCGCCUUCGGCGGAAAGACUUCCUACAUCGCGUAGACACAAUCGGAAAUUUCGCUUGCACCCGAGUUCGAUUCUCGGCAUCUCCACAA